rnacentral:rRNA from 1 species
GACGAACGCUGGCGGCGUGCCUAAUACAUGCAAGUUGAGCGCUGAAGGUUGGUACUUGUACCAACUGGAUGAGCAGCAAACGGGUGAGUAACGCGUGGGGAAUCUGCCUUUGAGCGGGGGACAACAUUUGGAAACGAAUGCUAAUACCGCAUAAAAACUUUAAACACAAGUUUUAAGUUUGAAAGAUGCAAUUGCAUCACUCAAAGAUGAUCCCGCGUUGUAUUAGCUAGUUGGGGAGGUAAAGGCUCACCAAGGCGAUGAUACAUAGCCGACCUGGGAGGGUGAUCGGCCACAUUGGGACUGAGACACGGCCCAAACUCCUAAGGGAGGCAGCAGUAGGGAAUCUUCGGCAAUGGACGAAAGUCUGAACGAGCAACGCCGGGUGAGUGAAGAAGGUUUUCGGAUCGUAAAAAUCUGUUGGUAGGGAAGAAAGUUGGUGAGAGUGGAAAGCUCAUCAAGUGACGGUAACUACCCAGAAAGGGACGGCUAACUACGUG